UUGAUACUAACGUCUGAAUCUGCUGGGUAU
rnacentral:piRNA from 1 species